UUUCAAAGUGUUGUGUACUGUAAAUAAAGGUGACUUGACUUAUUUAAUUUCAUCUUAAUAACACAGUCUCCGGUGGGGCAUGCAGCUGUCCUUGGUGCUCAUGUUAUCAGCAGCAGAGUUACCCACACUCUAUGACAUUGUCAUGGUAGACUUCACUCUGGUCACAUGCUCUAGUCAAAGUAUCUGUCUAGUAUCCAUCACCUUAAGCAACAAAAAGUCAUGAUGAAACAGAGGUGCACGCUGAGCUUGGCAGUUCCCCACUGAAAAUAUACACGUGCCAUCAGCCAAACACGAUUGGGAUUAUAAUACAGUAGUAGGACAGCCCGUGGUCAGAGGUGUGCCAAACCUGUAGAAAACCUCCUGUGUGGACUUGUCUAUGCUCACAACCUCUAAUAUCACUCAAAUCUGGUGUAUACUUCUGAGAUAUAUCAGAGGCGCUUUGUGGGAUUGGACCCUAUGCAUACUUUUGUAUGUUUUGUAGGCACUGUUAAAAGUGACACUAGUUGACAUUGAAUAAAUGUUAUUGUCUUUAA